UAUAUAAAGGCUGACCGAGGCGCGGCCUCCUCACAACGGCGGGAGCCGCGGCUGCGGAGGGGUGUCUUGUGUGAGGGGUUUGGGCGCUCUCCGAGGCCGGUUUGGGGGCUGCCCGCAGCCCCUCAUGGUUGUCAGGGCUGCCCAAGUAGGGAGAGAAGGCCGGCGUGCAGCCCUUGUACCGGGGAGAGGUGUCGUCCGUUGUGGCAGCUCCUUAAGGCUUCUCUUUGGGGACAGCUGGGUGUGAGGGGUCACAGCUGCUGCCCCGGGUCUGGCCCCUGAGGGUGGGCACGGCUGGAAGGACAGGGAAGAACCCCUGAGAUCACUGAGUUCAACUUAUGACUGGACAGCGCCAUGUCAGCCAGACGCACAAAGUGCCCCAUUGUCCUUCCUUAAACAAUUCCCUGAUUUUGGGGUGAGCGUCUGGCUCUCCUAGGUCCUCACUGCUGUCAGGGGGAGAGGAUGGAGCUCUACAGAGAUGUGGGAUACUUGCUGCCACGUCUUCCCUGUGUUUGUGCUACUCUUUACACCCUCUCCUGGUCCACAACCCCUCCGUGAUCCUCCGAGCCUGACGCGUGUGAGCAAGAACGAUGCUGUAGUGAGGGGGCCGGUGUCUCAUGGGUGACGUAUUUGGAGCCCUCCUGGAUGAUGUUUCCUUUCCAGCUCCAUCAUCUCCACGGCCCUGUUUGACUCAUGCUUGGCCUGGGCUGCUGAGAGGGCGAGAAAAGGCUGUGAAAUCCAAGUGAAGCAAGACCUGGGCUCUGUCUUUUGCGUCCCUCACCCUCUGUUGAAUCCAAGGCGGUUUUUUUAGCCGGGAGCUGCUGGAACCUCUGGAAGAGGGACUGCUCGUGGUGUUGCAGAAUUACCAUGGUGCUGAGAUUGUUUAUGGGCACUGCAGACUUGUGUGUGUGCACGUGGAGUGGAAGAAGCUGAAAUCUGCUCCCAGCCCUGUCUGCAGCAAGUGAAAACGCCUCUGUUUGGAUUAACCAAGUCUGGCCUUACAAAAAGGUCUGUUAAGCACGGCUCAGGAAAACCAAGCAUCCCAGAUACGUUGGAUGGUGCUGACAGAUUUAUGGCCGAGGAAACAACCCGUAACUUGUGAGAUGCUGCUCCCCACCAUUAAUGCAGUUGGGACGUUUUUUUCAGCACUAAUUGGGAUGAGGAUUGAUGUCCUCGCCCCUUCUCUCCGGAGGGGCUGGCAAACACCAGGGGCUUCCCUUUGGAGCUUCUUGAAGCUCUGAAAAUUGCUGAAGUGAGGUUUUUUUUCUCAUGAAUUCCCGCUGUCCUGAUGACUUUUGGACAUCUGAGGAGUCUGAGCAGGUUUGUAGAAGCUCUCUGUGUGUAAGAAUAUGUGUGACUACAUCUGUAUAUUUACAUUUUAUACGUAUGUGAACAUGUGUGUAGAGACUAAAAGGAAAUUAGCUCCUAUUCCAUUGCUCAGGGCUGGGAUCUGCACAUUCUCUUUGGAGUAUUUCGUGCCAGAUAUGAGCUCUGACUUACAUUUUGAAUAACAAUUUUAAUUAAA